CACGUAGUUAGCCGUGGCUUCCUCGUCAGGUACCGUCUUAGUAGACGCAUUUCCUCGUCUACUCUUUCGUCCCCGACAACAGAGCUUUACGAUCCGAAGACCUUCUUCACUCACGCGGCGUUGCUCCGUCAGGCUUUCGCCCCAUUGCGGAAGAUUCCCCACUGCUGCCUCCCGUAGGAGUAUGGGCCGUGUCUCAGUCCCAUUGUGGCCGUUCAUCCUCUCAGACCGGCUACUGAUCGUCGCUUUGGUGAGCCGUUACCUCACCAACUGGCUAAUCAGACGCAGGCCCAUCCUCAGGCGAUGGUUUGACCCAGUCUUUAGUAUCUCUUCCAUGUAGAAAAAGUUCCUCAUUCGGUAUUAGCGGCUCGUUUCGACGUCCGUUGUCCCCCUAUUCCCUGGACGGGCUAGGUUCGCCUACGGUCGUUAACUCACCCGUUU
rnacentral:rRNA from 1 species